rnacentral:rRNA from 1 species
GCCCUUAGAGUUUGAUCCUGGCUCAGGAUGAACGCUGGCGGCGUGCUUAACACAUGCAAGUCGAGCGAAGCACCUAAGAAAGAUUCUUCGGAUGAAUUCUUUUGUGACUGAGCGGCGGACGGGUGAGUAACGCGUGGGUAACCUGCCUCAUACAGGGGGAUAACAGUUAGAAAUGACUGCUAAUACCGCAUAAGACCACGGUACCGCAUGGUACAGUGGUAAAAACUCCGGUGGUAUGAGAUGGACCCGCGUCUGAUUAGCUAGUUGGUGGGGUAACGGCCUACCAAGGCGACGAUCAGUAGCCGACCUGAGAGGGUGACCGGCCACAUUGGGACUGAGACACGGCCCAAACUCCUACGGGAGGCAGCAGUGGGGAAUAUUGCACAAUGGGGGAAACCCUGAUGCAGCGACGCCGCGUGAAGGAUGAAGUAUUUCGGUAUGUAAACUUCUAUCAGCAGGGAAGAAAAUGACGGUACCUGACUAAGAAGCCCCGGCUAACUACGUGCCAGCAGCCGCGGUAAUACGUAGGGGGCAAGCGUUAUCCGGAUUUACUGGGUGUAAAGGGAGCGUAGACGGCAUUGCAAGCCAGAUGUGAAAGCCCGGGGCUCAACCCCGGGACUGCAUUUGGAACUGUAGAGCUAGAGUGUCGGAGAGGCAAGUGGAAUUCCUAGUGUAGCGGUGAAAUGCGUAGAUAUUAGGAGGAACACCAGUGGCGAAGGCGGCUUGCUGGACGAUGACUGACGUUGAGGCUCGAAAGCGUGGGGAGCAAACAGGAUUAGAUACCCUGGUAGUCCACGCCGUAAACG